rnacentral:rRNA from 1 species
CGUAGGUGCAAGCGUUAAUCGGAAUUACUGGGCGUAAAGCGUGCGCAGGCGGUUCGCUAAGACAGAUGUGAAAUCCCCGGGCUUAACCUGGGAACUGCAUUUGUGACUGGCGGGCUAGAGUAUGGCAGAGGGGGUAGAAUUCCACGUGUAGCAGUGAAAUGCGUAGAGAUGUGGAGGAAUACCGAUGGCGAAGGCAGCCCCCUGGGCCAAUACUGACGCUCAUGCACGAAAGCGUGGGAGCAAACAGGAUU